rnacentral:lncRNA from 1 species
GGAGAGUAUGGAGACGAGAGAUAAACAAAUUGGAUAAGUGAGUAAGGUAGAUUAGGGUUACGCAAGGGUUUCUGAAAAUGUUGGAGUGGAAGAGAUGAAAGAGAAAGGGUUCAGAGGAAUGAGGGAGGUGAGUAAUGACCUUAAAACUUAAAGUCCAUGAUAAAUGAGGAUAUUUUUGUCUACUAUAAUCCGGUACACAUUGUUAAAACGUACCAACUGAAAAACAGGCCUACG